UCACACAGCCUGAUGCCCCCCCCUAUUCUGGUGAAGCGGUUUACUUUUAAGGUUGCCUGGGUUGAACAACAUUCCAGAACCGAAGAACAGAAGACAUGAUCAUCAAUUUCUGGAGGGCCCACACACUCAACACCCCGACUACCCAUCAAUGGUAAAGUGAAACAGAUGGUGGUGAGCAUAACUCAGGAGCUCCCCUUACUGACAGCAGGGUGCACUGGUACACCCUGGUAGCUGUUUUUUUUUGUGCUACUGUCACUGGUAUUUUUGUAUUAUCGAACCAGAACCAGACCUCAGCUUGCCCGUCUGAUGGCAGGAGGGACCAGAGUGGAACGGGAGAGUAGGGAGAAGGCUGCCAUGCAUUAUCAGAUCAAUGGACAAGCAGAGAGAGCGGGAGAACUGGUGGACACCCAACAAACACAUGACGUUUGGGGAACUUUCCCUAAAGGUUCAUUGAAGGUUUUUCUCUCCCAUGGAGUCUCCACUCUUCCAUGCAGAGAGCUAACCUGAAGUCUGCUCUAAGAGCUUAAAGAUGCUCGCCACUCUGGACUUUGAGACUCUGGAAAGCUCAUGUCAUCAACAGGCC